CCCCACUCAUAAUCACUCCAUUUUGAUUUUGUUUUCAGAAGAUAUCAAGAAGGCAUACAAAAAAUUAGCCUUGAAGUAUCACCCUGAUAAGAACCUGAACGAUCCUGAGGCAACACAAAAAUUUCAAGAGCUGAGCAAGACAUAUUUGGAACUGACAAAAUCAAGGGAGGCCUUUUGCUCACAUUGUGGCUGUGGAUGUGACUAUGAGUUUAGUGAUGAUGAGGAUGAUGAUGACGAUAAUUAUGAGGAUGAAGAAGAUUGGUACUUUGACAGCGAUAGUGAGGAAGCAGACGAG